rnacentral:lncRNA from 1 species
CUGGAUCAAUACGAGAUGAUCCUUACUGGACCUCUAGGGAGAACAGUUUAGAACUGAUAGACUUAUCCAGUAUAAAUCAAGUUAGUUUAGUUUAUGUUUCCUCCUGUAGUAACACUGGAUCGAUAAGAGAUGAUUGUUCCAGCAUAAAUGAAGUUAGUUAGUUUAAACUUGCUAGUGACGGGAAAAAAAAUAAAGGAAAAGAGGAAGAAGAGAAAUUGAAGAAGAAGAGGUUCACAAAACUAACAUCCCAUCAAUCGUGAUGAAUUAUUUUAGUAUCAACAUUGAACUUUAACCUUGAAAGAUAUGAUACGUCUUUCCUCUCCAGACGGCAGUCCUGGUAGUGCAGAUGAAUUCCUGCCAUGUCUUAUAUAUGUUAUCCUCAAAUGCACACCUACUAUGCUUAAUUCAAAUAUACAGUAAGUUCCAGUUUUGAUUGGCUGGUCGAGGCUUCCAGUAAACGUUAUACAGAGCAGCAAGUAGUCGUUAACUUCGGAAAUGUUGAAAGUUAUUGGAGCUUAACUACAUCUUUCAGUAUCACUUAACGGAACCAC